CGACGAGUUUCCCAGAAGAAGGUGGAGCAUCUUGGCCUGACUCUCGACUCGAAACGAGGCUUCGCCGUGGAGAGGAGAAAUGUCGAGAGAGAAGGAAUGCUGAGCCUCUCCGAGAGAUCGAGAAGCCUCACAGGAGCUAGCUAAUCCAGUGUUAGACCUAAUAGCGUGCUAUUGUACUGAUAGCGUUCUUCGUGCCAAUUAGGAUCACGUGUGAACGUGAUCCAUUACCAACCACUCUAAUGGCAGUUCGUGUGCACACUGAAAUCCAGGUUAAAGGUACCCAAGAAGCUUUCCAAUCUUUAAUAGCUAUUCGCUAUUUGAUAUUGGAUCUAAAAGUGUUCCACUAUUUCCUGCCACUAUGCUGUUUUAUGGUCAUAUAAUUUACU